GGAUUAGAUACCCUGGUAGUCCACGCCGUAAACGAUGAGUGUUAGGUGUUGGGGUCGUAAGACUUCAGUGCCGUAGCUAACGCGUUAAACACUCCGCCUGGGGAGUAAGGUCGCAAGAUUAAAACUCAAAGGAAUUGACGGGGACCUGCACAAGUGGUGGAACAUGCGGUUUAAUCCGAUGCUACGCGCAAAACCUUACCAACCCUUGACAUGGUGGUCGCGGGAUUCAGAAAUGAAUUCUUUCAGUUCGGCUGGACCACACACAGGUGUUGCAUGGCCGUCGUCAGCUCGUGCCG
rnacentral:rRNA from 1 species